AUUGAACGCUGGCGGCAGGCCUAACACAUGCAAGUCGAACGGUAGCACAGAGAGCUUGCUCUCGGGUGACGAGUGGCGGACGGGUGAGUAAUGUCUGGGAAACUGCCCGAUGGAGGGGGAUAACUACUGGAAACGGUAGCUAAUACCGCAUAACGUCGCAAGACCAAAGUGGGGGACCUUCGGGCCUCACACCAUCGGAUGUGCCCAGAUGGGAUUAGCUAGUAGGUGGGAUAAUGGCUCACCUAGGCGACGAUCCCUAGCUGGUCUGAGAGGAUGACCAGCCACACGGGAACUGAGACACGGUCGAGACUCCUACGGGAGGCAGCAGUGGGGAAUAUUGCACAAUGGGCGCAAGCCUGAUGCAGCAAUGCCGCGUGUAUGAAGAAGGCCUUCGGGUUGUAAAGUACUUUCAGCGGGGAGGAAGGCGGUGAAGUUAAUAGCUUCACCGAUUGACGUUACCCGCAGAAGAAGCACCGGCUAACUCCGUGCCAGCAGCCGCCGUAA
rnacentral:rRNA from 1 species